UACAGAGGUGGCAAGCGUUGUUCGGAAUUACUGGGCGUAAAGAGCGUGUAGGCGGCCAGGUAGGUCGGUUGUGAAAACUGGAGGCUCAACCUUCAGAGGUCGACCGAAACCAUCUGGCUAGAGUCCGGGAGAGGAGAGUGGAAUUCCUGGUGUAGCGGUGAAAUGCGCAGAUAUCAGGAAGAACACCCGUGGCGAAAGCGGCUCUCUGGAACGGUACUGACGCUGAGACGCGAAAGCGUGGGGAGCGAACAGG
rnacentral:rRNA from 1 species